UGUUUGGUGGCUGAGAUAAAUAAGCGAUAGACUGUAGAUCUAUUAACGGAGUUAGGUCUUCCCAACAA
rnacentral:tRNA from 1 species